rnacentral:rRNA from 1 species
UACGGGGGGGCAAGCGUUGUUCGGAAUUACUGGGCGUAAAGGGUCAGUAGGCGGCCAACUAAGUCCGACGUGAAAUCCCAAAGCUUAACUUUGGAACUGCGUCGGAUACUGGAUGGCUUGAAUUCGGGAGAGGGAUGCGGAAUUCCAGGUGUAGCGGUGAAAUGCGUAGAUAUCUGGAGGAACACCGGUGGCGAAGGCGACAUCCUGGACCAACACUGACGCUGAGGAGCGAAAGCCAGGGGAGCAAACGGG